GGUUUAGGGUUUAGGGUUUAGGGU
rnacentral:miRNA from 1 species